AUGUGAUUUUAAUGGCAUGGGCUCUUUAAGACAAGGUAGUGGCUAUGCUUACGGCGUGCCGUAAAAAUAGCUAGUGGCUAUGCUUACGGCACGCCGUAACAAUACUGCAUUAGUCUAUUUUCACGGCAGGUUAGGGUUAAUUGCUAUAAUUAAUUACUAUAAUAGGGCGCGGGAUCCGCGUUGCAUUGUGGGACGUGGCGGCCAUGUUGAUGGCUACGCGAACGUUAACAUAACUCUGACAUAACGUUGUUGAACGAAGAGAAGUAGCAGUAGAGUUGAGAAAGAAUAGCUAGAAAAAAUGUUAAAAUCCCGAAAAGGAUCUGGAAUUUACCGGGACACAUUAAAUAGAGAUGCCAGGGACCGGUAUGGUGACAAAAUCAGCAUUAUUAAUAAUUUGGAUCCAUAUGAAGUUCGGGCGGCAGGUAGCGGUAAAGGAGGCCAUCACCAUGGCGGCCACGCAAAAUAAUUACGUCAUGACACCCAAGCCCUAUUACCAUGGCUAUUUUUACGGGCUGCGCCGAGCAGACUGAUAGGUCAAGUGCGGUCACGUGACAAGCUGCCGUCCGAAUAGCCUAAUUCCUAUUCUUACGGUCGCCGUACGAAUAGCCACUGCCAAAAAACAGCUUUGUGCCGAAAGCGAUAGUUCAACACUUUUACUGAUACUGCUUAGAAAUAAUAAGCAACAUGAACACUUCUGAACAGAAAUAAUUAGGAUCCAAAAGAUGAAAUUCAUCCGGGUUGGGUAAGGAUUUUUGAAAUAAAAGCCCAUGUAGUCUACCCAUAUAUUUUAUAUAUUGCAUCCGUCCAGAGGAUGGAGGGUACGCUGAAGAGCCUGCCUCCCGGCUCCAUGCUCACCGUCAGCAGCUACCUGGUGAACGACCUCAUGGUCAAGCUGGUACUGAGGCUCCAGCCCCUGAAUGGCGAGGGCUACAGACCGCUGAACCAGCAGGCGCUCCUGACCACCACUCUCAAGGAGUUGGGGAAUACUCACCGCCGGAGCCAACGGGGGAUAUAUCUUCGGCUCCGAGUAAGAGACGACCACAGAUUGCCCAGACCCGUGUACUGCAGGAUCAAUCCAACUGUUCCUGUCCUGGACCGUUAUUUUAAUGGCCAGGACACCAAAACUGAUUUCCGAUUGGGCAGGGAGGCCCUGGCAGUGCUGCUGGACCUUCUCGGCCAGGAGCGGAGCCAUGGAUGGGGUGCCACCAUUGAGACCCUGGUGUUUCUAUUCUGGCUGGCUUGUGGGGCAUCAUACAGGUUGGUAAGACACCGCGCUUUUGAGAAAGCAGCGGGAGCAAUCGACGGCUGCCAUGUCCGUAUCAAGCCACCGAGCGGCCCUGAUGGUCACUGCUACAGGAACAGGAAACUGUUUUCCUCCAUAAUUCUGCAGGCUGUUUGUGACCAUCAGCUUCCUUGAUACGUACGUGGGCUGGCCUGGAUCAGUCCAUGACUCCAGAGUCCUCCGCCACAGCCCACUGUAUAGGUCACUCUACCCUCCUCCAGGGCACUUCAUCCUUGCAGACGGCGGGUACCCUUUCCUCCAACACCCACUACCCCUCAUCACUCCCUACAGGAAGCCAGUGCGAGGUGUGGGAGCCCAGCGCUUCAACUGGCAUCAUUCCAGGGCACGCUCCAUUAUAGAGCGUGCUUUUGGAAUGAUGAAGACCAGGUUCAGGGCCAUCUUCCUGCAAGCGCUGGAGGUGCACCACACCUUCGUACCUCACGUCAUAACAGCAUGUGCCAUCCUCCACAACAUCUGCCUUGGGGCCGAUGACAUCAUGGCCCCAGAGGAGGAGGAUGAGCCUGGGGACGAUGUAGAGGAGGAUGAGGGGGGCGAUGGUUUGGAGGCAGCCAGUGGUGCUCCCUGGCGGGACCAGCUGUCUGCAGAGGUGUCUGCCCUGGAGGAGGCCCCCCCUGACCACCAAUAUA